GCAAGGGCGAGAAAAGCGCCCUCGCCGAAAGCCCAAGGUUUCCUACGCAACGUUCAUCGGCGUAGGGUGAGUCGGCUCCUAAGGCGAGGCAGAAAUGCGUAGUCGAUGGGAAACAGGUCAAUAUUCCUGUACCGAUUCUAGAUGCGAUGUGGGGACGGAGAAGGUUAGGUCAGCCGGGUGUUGGACGUCCCGGUUUAAGCGUGUAGGCGUGCCCCUUAGGCAAAUCCGGGGGGCUGAGCUGAGGCGUGGUGACGAGGAACCACGGUUCCGAAGUGAUUGAUACCAAGCUUCCAGGAAAAGCCACUAAGCUUCAGUCUAGAGUUGACCGUACCGCAAACCGACACAGGUGGGCAGGAUGAAAAUUCUAAGGCGCUUGAGAGAACUCAGGAGAAGGAACUCGGCAAAUUAACACCGUAACUUCGGGAGAAGGUGUGCCCCGGUAGCGUGUAGAGACUUGCUCUCGAAGCGCGAUGGGGUUGCAGUGAAAUGGUGGCUGCGACUGUUUAAUAAAAACACAGCACUCUGCAAACACGAAAGUGGACGUAUAGGGUGUGACGCCUGCCCGGUGCCGGAAGGUUAAGUGAUGGGGUGCAAGCUCUUGAUCGAAGCCCCGGUAAACGGCGGCCGUAACAAUAACGGUCCUAAGGUAGCGAAAUUCCUUGUCGGGUAAGUUCCGACCUGCACGAAUGGCGUAACGAUGGCCACACUGUCUCCUCCUGGGACUCAGCGAAGUUGAAAUGUUUGUGAAGAUGCAAUCUACCCGCGGCUAGACGGAAAGACCCCAUGAACCUUUACUGUAGCUUUGCAUUGGACUUUGAACCGGUUUGUGUAGGAUAGGUGGGAGACUGUGAAGCCGGGACGCUAGUUUCGGUGGAGUCAACCUUGAAAUACCACCCUGAUUUGUUUGAGGUUCUAACCUUGGUCCGUGAAUCCGGAUCGGGGACCGUGCAUGGUAGGCAGUUUGACUGGGGCGGUCUCCUCCCAAAGGUAACGGAGGAGUACGAAGGUACGCUUAGGGCGGUCGGACAUCGCCCACAAAGUGCAAUGGCAAAAGCGUGCUUGACUGCGAGACCCACAAGUCGAGCAGGUACGAAAGUAGGUCAUAGUGAUCCGGUGGUUCUGUAUGGAAGGGCCAUCGCUCAACGGAUAAAAGGUACUCUGGGGAUAACAGGCUAAUUCCUCCCAAGAGUUCAUAUCGACGGGGGAGUUUGGCACCUCGAUGUCGGCUCAUCACAUCCUGGGGCUGUAGUCGGUCCCAAGGGUAUGGCUGUUCGCCAUUUAAAGUGGUACGCGAGCUGGGUUUAAAACGUCGUGAGACAGUUUGGUCCCUAUCUGCCGUGGGCGCUGGAAAUUUGAAGGGGGCUGCUCCUAGUACGAGAGGACCGGAGUGGACGAACCUCUGGUGUACCGGUUAUGACGCCAGUCGUAUCGCCGGGUAGCUAAGUUCGGAAGAGAUAAACGCUGAAAGCAUCUAAGCGUGAAACUCGCCUUAAGAUAAGAUUUCCCGGAGUCUUGAACUCCCUGAAGGGUCGUCGAAGACCACGACGUUGAUAGGUCAAGAGUGGAAGCGCAGCAAUGCGUUAAGCUAACUGAUACUAAUUGCCCGUGCGGCUUGAUCG
rnacentral:rRNA from 1 species